rnacentral:lncRNA from 1 species
AAUGAAUCAAAAAAUCUGCGCUGCUUGCCUUUUGUGGAGUUCUCUUCAUUUGAUAUCUUCAAAUCCAUAAGAUCUCUCCUUUAAUUUGCUCUCGAAGUAACAUAUUUUUCCUAUUUACCCUUUUAAAAUCCUACAUAAUAGUUCCACAUUGUUCUCCUACCUUCAUGCAUUCCACUUUUUAAAUACUUCAAAGCAUUCCAUGAGUUGUUGCUACUGGUACUCCAUGUCAAAUCUGCAGACGUUAAGCAAAGAUUCCAGUUUUAGAANUUUUUAUUGAUGCAUCAAUUAUGAUAUUUAACAUACUACAUUAGCUAGCAAUAAAUUUGAAGUCCAAACUAUGAUAAAGUGGUUAGGCAAAACAUAAAAAGUCAAGGUCUCAGAUAAUUAUUCACACUCAGGUUUAGGGAUUCAUUAUAAGUCUUAAUGAAUCAAAACCUGCGCGUCUACCUUUUGUGGAGUUCUCUUCAUUUGAUAUAUUCAAAUCCAUAAGAUAAGAUCUCUCCUUUAAUUUCCUAUCGAAGUAACAAAUUUUCCUAUUUAUCCCUUUAAAAUCCUACAUAAUAGUUCCACAUUGUUCUCCUACCUUCAUGCAUUCCACUUUUCCUCUCCACUACUUAAAUACUUCAAAGCAUUCCAUGAGUUGUUGCUAUUGGUACUCCAUGUCAAAUC